rnacentral:rRNA from 1 species
UAGGGCAAGUCUGGUGCCAGCAGCCGCGGUAAUUCCAGCUCCAAUAGCGUAUAUUAAAGUUGUUGCAGUUAAAAAGCUCGUAGUUGAACCUUGGGUCUGGCUGGCCGGUCCGCCUCACCGCGAGUACUGGUCCGGCUGGACCUUUCCUUCUGGGGAACCUCAUGGCCUUCACUGGCUGUGGGGGGAACCAGGACUUUUACUGUGAAAAAAUUAGAGUGUUCAAAGCAGGCCUUUGCUCGAAUACAUUAGCAUGGAAUAAUAGAAUAGGACGUGCGGUUCUAUUUUGUUGGUUUCUAGGACCGCCGUAAUGAUUAAUAGGGAUAGUCGGGGGCGUCAGUAUUCAGCUGUCAGAGGUGAAAUUCUUGGAUUUGCUGAAGACUAACUACUGCGAAAGCAUUCGCCAAGGAUGUUUUCAUUAAUCAGGGAACGAAAGUUAGGGGAUCGAAGACGAUCAGAUACCGUCGUAGUCUUAACCAUAAACUAUGCCGACUAGGGAUCGGACGGGAUUCUAUAAUGACCCGUUCGGCGCCUUACGGGAAAC